CUUAGGGCGAAACCUCCCAAGUACUGUUCUAGCGGAAAAGCAUUCUCUGGUCGAGCAGAUGGAGAAGAGACCCGGACCAGCGUGGUCCCUCCCAGCCACCCUCCCUUCGGGAUUAGCUACCCCCAGCGCCGCUCAGGCGCACCAGCCCGUGCGUCCCCGUUCGCCCAGCUUCCGUCGCCUCUCUGCAACCGCAAACCCGCCGCCAGCCUAGCCGAGCCAUCCCGGGCAUCCCCGCUCCCCGAGCCCGUGGACCUGGGACCUCGAACCCGGGACGCGCGCGCACGACAGCCGAGCAGGUGCUCCUUUUACAUGCUUGUCUUUUCCUUUCUCGCUCGAGCUGUCCGGUGAUGACUUUCGGCCUUAGUGACACCGAAAGGAAAAACGCGGAAGAGGGGAAGCCCUACAGGAUGAUUUAGCGGGGGCCCAGCCUCCUCUCCAAGGAGAGGUGCUUGCCAGGCGACUUUCUCGGUCCUCUUCGCUGGCCCCUUUAAGAAGCCAAAUCAGUCCAACUGCGGCUGUUUGUAUUGCUAAUCCCCAGGAGCCCCGUUAAAAAAAAAAAAAAAAAA